GUGGGCUACGGCGAUCUUGUACCUGUUGCGCCUAUAGGUAAGCUUGUUGGUUCCUUGUGCGCCAUUGUUGGCGUGCUAGUUCUUGCCCUUCCCGUACCUGUCAUAGUGGCCAAU
rfam:Trichuris suis scaffold114.1, whole genome shotgun sequence.